AGUGAACGCUGGCGGUAGGCCCAACACAUGCAAGUCGAACGGCAGCACAGUAAGAGCUUGCUCUUACGGGUGGCGAGUGGCGGACGGGUGAGGAAUACAUCGGAAUCUACUUUUUCGUGGGGGAUAACGUAGGGAAACUUACGCUAAUACCGCAUACGACCUACGGGUGAAAGCAGGGGAUCUUCGGACCUUGCGCGAUUGAAUGAGCCGAUGUCGGAUUAGCUAGUUGGCGGGGUAAAGGCCCACCAAGGCGACGAUCCGUAGCUGGUCUGAGAGGAUGAUCAGCCACACUGGAACUGAGACACGGUCCAGACUCCUACGGGAGGCAGCAGUGGGGAAUAUUGGACAAUGGGCGCAAGCCUGAUCCAGCCAUACCGCGUGGGUGAAGAAGGCCUUCGGGUUGUAAAGCCCUUUUGUCGGGAAAGAAAAGCAGCAGGUUAAUACCCCGCUGUUCUGACGGUACCCAAAGAAUAAGCACCGGCUAACUUCGUG
rnacentral:rRNA from 1 species